rnacentral:rRNA from 1 species
CACUGGCUCAAGAACGAACGCUGGCGGCGCGUCUUAAGCAUGCAAGUCGAACGGCAAGAGGUAGCAAUACCUCCUAGAGUGGCGGACUGGUGAGUAACACGUGGGUGACAUACCCUUCAGAUGGGGAUAGCUAUUAGAAAUAGUAGAUAAUACCGAAUACGAGCACAGGGGUUAGAGAUCUGUGAGGAAAGGAGCUAAGGCUCCGCUGAAGGAAUGGCCUGCGGCCCAUUAGCUAGUUGGUGAGGUAAGAGCCCACCAAGGCGAUGAUGGGUAUCCGGCCUUAGAGGGUGAACGGACACAUUGGGACUGAGAUACGGCCCAGACUCCUACGGGAGGCAGCAGCUAAGAAUAUUCCGCAAUGGACGAAAGUCUGACGGAGCGACGCCGCGUGGAUGAAGAAGGCCGGAAGGUUGUAAAAUCCUUUUGAAACUGAAGAAUAAGCGUUGUAGGGAAUGACAGCGUGGUGACAGUAGGUUUUGAAUAAGCAACGGCUAAUUACGUGCCAGCCGCCGC